GAAAGACUUGUGAUAAGAUCGGCUCCAUAUAAGGUGUCUUAUAAUCUAUGGUAUCAUCAUAUUGGUGUAGAGUGAAGUUCCCCCUAGACCACAGAUGUCAAAUUCCUUCCACAGAGGGCCAAGUGUCUGCAGGUUUUCACUCCUCCCUUGUCCUUGAUUGAUGAAUUAAGGUCACCAAUUAGUAUGGAACUUUCCACACCUGGUGGUCUCGGGCUUAAUUUAAAGGUGAAAAUAGACCUUAGGUCCUCUACGGAAUGAGUUUGACACCCCUUGCCUAGAUGCUGAUCUUGGGGCAGUUUUGCAUUUUCCCCAAUAAUGGUUAGGAAUGGGGAGGGGAAGCCGAUCCUAGAUCUGUACCUAGGGGAAACCUCACCAAAGAGCAAGUUAUUAUCAGCCAAUUUAAAUUAAUUGAAAUAUUGCCAUAUUGGAAGACAAAAUAUUAUGUCUUAUAAUAUAUGCAUGCUCAUAACAAGUUGAAUGCAUUAUACCUUUUGUUAUAUACCCAAUGUUAUAACAUUUUCUUCUGAGCAUAUAGAGCUGACAAACUCCAUCAUAAGUGGAUGAGGGUGAUGCCUACUCCACGAGCAGUACAAUACAGUGGAUCAAUGUACAAGAUCCAGGUACACAAAGCUCUAACCCAGAGCGUACUUUACAGUAUGAUCUGAGGAUCAUGAAAUCUGAAGGUGGGGCUUUGUAUUAAACUCAGUAUGGCUUCUCUUGCCCUCUUCAGGAGACACAGGGAAAAGCUCCGGGCACACUUCUUGGAGAGCCGGAAUCUGAGGGUGUGCAGUAUCAAUGCCUCUGGGUUCAUGUCUAAAUCCAGCCCAAGGCCUCAGUGUGGCUGGCAGCUUCAAAAGUGCUACAAAUCUCAUGGGUUCUCCCCUCCUCAAGGGUGCAGCAGUCUGUCAGCUGGCGCACCAACAGCAGCUCCACCGACUCUCAACAGAGCACUCCCCAAAGGGAAAAGCUUCAGGAGUAGCUCCCUGUCACUCAGUCCACCCCAAAGACACCAGGACACUCAUCACUUCAGGACCCUGCCAAUCUCUCGAGGACCAAGGGUUGCUGGCCCCGCCUAUAAGCACCUGCAAGAGGUAGAGUCUACAGAGAUGGAGGCGGAGUCUUUAAGAGGGUUUGACACUGGGAGGGAUGGUGGUGACGACCGCCAGCGCAGCAGGUUCCAGAAUAUGCAAACCCUGUCUCGUUCAGCGUGGAAGAAAGAUUGGAGGGAGGUGCCCUACACCCGUCUGGACAGAGGACUAAAACCUGCUCCUCCCUCUCUCCGCACACGAUCGGUCCCCAUCAUCCUCUCUCUCCAGGGACACGGCCGUGAGGAGGGUCACAUGGAUGAGACCAGGCAGGGGGUCUCGCAGGGAGGAGGUCUCGCUGGGCCAGGUCACAAGCCCCAAGGACCUGCCAAUGGCAGCAGCCACACCCCCCGUCACUCAACCAUCUCUUCCUCUGAGACUGUACUAGAAUCUGAGGCCAGAUCCAGUCAUUUGCGUCCCUGCGGCGUUAAGACUGUACUGGGGUUAGGGACAAGCUCUAGCCACGUGCACCACGGCUCCUCUGAAACUCCAGUAGGGCCAGGGGGCUCGUUCCAACACGCCGGGACAGCAGCAUCCAGAUCAGGUGUUCCCAGGUUGAACAGCAGGAACACUAUUAUUGCUGUGACCGUGCUGGAGUCCGAGGGAAAGAACAUGCGGUAUACACCCAGAUUGCUAUACAGCUGUCCCGGGAGCAGGGGUCCUCAGGCAGGAGGCCAAAGGGAGGCCCAGGGGCUCGGGGAACAAUACGCCCCCCCACCCCUGAUGGAUGGAGGGGCAAACUGCUUCCUGACAGCAGUGGUGAGCAGAGGUGCUGGAAUUGAUUAUGCCAAAACUUCUGCCAGCUGAGUGGACUAGAUCUUGCCGACAGGUGUGGUGAUAUUGAUGAUUUGUCGCCACAGAUGGUUUGUUUACAUAGCAGGUUAGGAUAAUUCAUGUUGGGGCAGGGAUGUGCAAAUAUGACAAAAUACAAUUUCAAAAUACCAUAAAGAACAACGUAUGAAAAUAAACUACAAAAUACUUCUAUUUUGAAAUGUAUUUAAUUAAAAUAAAUGUAUUUUGUAUUUUAAAAUACAGAAAUACAUUUGCAAGUUGCCGGACCGAACAGCAACAACAUUCUCAGUAACGGUUACAGAAACAUUUGACUUGCUAUGACUGUGAUACGCUGUUGUUUAUCAACAUGAGUUGAAUGCACUGACUGUAAGUCACUCAGGAUAAGAGUGUCUGCUAAAUGACCAAAAUAUAAAUGUAUAUGUGAAAAUAAACAUACCAAAGCACACUAGGUAUUACUAUUGGCCUUGUUUCGGGGCGAAGCUCAUUAGAGUAAUACUCAGCAUGCUUUUCAAUUGUUCAUUUGUACAUAUACAAUUAUAUUUUGUUAAUUUAUCAGAUGCUCUUAACACACCAUAUUGCCAUCAGAAUUUUGAUACCAACGCAGGGUGAAAGGGGGCCACAAAAUUGUGAACCGCUAUAAAAAGAAUUGUAUAGAAAAAAGUAUUUUGUCAUUUGAAAAUACAAAAUAUAGCUCUCAACAAUAUCUUGUUAAAACAUACAUUGGAGUGCAGUUCAGCCCAGUGUAAUACAAAUUACACAAAAUACUCAGAAGUAAUUGAAAUACACAUUUCAAAUACAUGUAACAGAAAUACUGCCCAUCUCUGGUUGCAGGUUAGGUGAAUUAACGUGGUAGGUUAGAAUUAACACAGCAGGUUUGGUGAAUUAAUGUAGCAUGUUAGGAGAAUGGGGUUAAGGUUAGGAAGAAGUGUUAGGCAUAGCUACAAUGCUACAGUUGUCAACAACUGUUGUCCCUGACGUGGCCACUAGUUUGCGCUCUAGUCCUCCAUCUGGCCACAAUGGUAAAAACAUAAACAAUAUCUGGUGACAAAUCAUCAGUAACAUGACACCUGCAGGGAAAGAUUCCGCCCACCUGCAUCGACAACAUGAGGGGAGUGGGACCACCUGCCUAAAAAAUUGGACCAAUCACAGAUGGCCCCCGGUUUCUGUAAAAGAGCCACAGCAGCGUGGACUGCAGAAAAGAAUUUAUUGAUACAUUUAAGACCUUGAAUUAUGAAGAAUACACACACAGUCUAUGUGAAUAAUGUGAAACAAUGCAGACGGACAUAAAGACUGGAGUGGGAGAUUGAUUUAAAAGUGUAUAAAAUAAUAUAUACAUGAUCUAUAUGGCACUAUCUAAACAACGCUUCUACUUAGAAACCAAAAUAGUGUGUCAUCGCUAUGUUGUUUCUCUAUUGUAAAGAAAUCUAAUUGUAUAUGUCAUAUAUAUAAAGUGGGGAGAACAAGUAUUUGAUACACUGCUGAUUUUGCAGGUUUUCCUACUUACAAAGCAUGUAGAAAUCUGUAAUUUUUAUCAUAGGAACACUUCAACUGUGAGAGACGGAAUCUAAAACAAAAAUCCAGAAAAUCACAUUGUAUGAUUUUUAAGUAAUUAAUUUGCAUUUUAUUGCAUGACAUAAGUAUUUGAUAACCUACCAAUCAGUAAGAAUUCCGGGUCUCACAGACCUGUUCGUUUUUCUUUAAGAAGCCCUCCUCUUCUCCAUUCAUUACCUGUAUUAACUGCACCUGUUUGAACUCGUUACCUGUAUAAAAGACACCUCUCCACGCACUCAAUCAAACAGACUCCAACCUCUCCACAAUGGCCAAGACCAGGGAGCUGUGUAAGGACAUCAGGGGUAAAAUUGUAGACCUGCACAAGGCUGGAAUGGGCUAUAAGGACAAUAGGCAAGCAGCGGUCUGAUGAGACAAAAAUAGAGCUUUUUGGUCUAAACUCCACCCGCCGUGUUCGGAGGAAGAAGGAUGAGUACAACCCCAAGAUCACCAUCCCAACCGUGAAGCAUGGAGGUGGAAACAUAAUUCUUUGGGGAUGCUUUUCUGCAAAGGGGACAGGAUGACUGCACCGUAUUGAGGGGAGGAUGGAUGGGGCCAUCUAUUGCGAGAUCUUGGCCAACAACCUCCUUCCCCCAGUAAGAGCAUUGAAGAUGGGUCGUGGCCGGGUCUUCCAGCAUGACAACGACGCGAAACACACAGCUAGGGCAACUAAGUAGUGGCUCCGUAAGAAGCAUCUCAAGGUCCUGGAGUGGCCUAGCCAGUCUCCAGACCUGAACCCAAUAGAACAUCUUUGGAGGGAGCUGAAAGUCCGUAUUGCCCAGCGACAGCCCCGGAACCUGAAGGAUCUGGAGAAUGUCUGUAAGGAGGAGUGGGCCAAAAUCCCUGCUGCAGUGUGUGCAAACCUGGUCAAGAACUACAGGAAACGUAUGAUCUCUGUAAUUGCAAACAAAGGUUUCUGUACCAAAUAUUAAGUUCUGCUUUUCUGAUGUAUCGAAUACUUAUGUCAUGCAAUAAAAUGAAAAUUAAUUACUUAAAAAUCAUACAAUGUGAUUUUCAGGAUUUUUGUUUUAGAUUCCGUCUCUCACAGUUGAAGUGUACCUAUGAUAAAAAUUCCAGACCUCUACAUGCUCUGUUAGCAGGAAAAUCUGGAAAAUUGGCAAUGUAUCAAAUACUUGUUCUCCCCACUGUAUGUCCUAUAGACGUGUAUAUAUACUGAAUAUUUGACAUGACAUCUUGACUAAAUAAAGACAACGACUACAGUGUUAAAGGGUGUGUGAUUGAUUGAAUUUCUGAAACAUCUUUCAGCUUCACAUUUGAUGUCUGUGUUUUUCCUUUCAGGUCGGUCAGGGUAUAGCCUAGUUGUCACGCCCUGACCAUAGAGAGCCUUUUUAGUCUCCAUUUUGAUUAGGUCGGGGUGUGACGGGGGGGGGGUUCCUAUCUAGGAUGUUUAGUUCUAUGUUGGCCUGGUAUGGUUCCCAAUCAGAGGCAGCUGUUUAUCGUUGUUUCUGAUUGGGGAUCAUAUUUAGGCAGCCAUUUCCCUACUGUGUUUUGUGGGAUCUUGUUUUUGUGUUGAUGCCUUUGAGCACUUCAUUUACAUCACGUUUCAUUGUUUCUUUAUUUUGUAUUGUUCAAAGUCCCACUUCAAUAAAUAUGUGAACACAGAUCACGC
ensembl:lncRNA